rnacentral:rRNA from 1 species
UGCCCCGCGAGGGAGCCCUAGCACAGGUGCUGCAUGGCCGUCGUCAGCUCGUGCCGUGAGGUGUUGGGUUAAGUCCCGCAACGAGCGCAACCCUUGUCAUUAGUUGCUACAUUCAGUUGGGCACUCUAAUGAGACUGCCGGUGACAAGCCGGAGGAAGGUGGGGAUGACGUCAAGUCCUCAUGGCCCUUAUAGGUGGGGCUACACACGUCAUACAAUGGCUGGUACAAAGGGUUGCCAACCCGCGAGGGGGAGCCAAUCCCAUAAAGCCAGUCGUAGUCCGGAUCGUAGUCUGCAACUCGACUACGUGAAGUCGGAAUCGCUAGUAAUCGCGGAUCAGCAUGCCGCGGUGAAUACGUUCCCGGGCCUU